rnacentral:snRNA from 1 species
CGAACCUCGAGCGCGAGCUCGUU